rnacentral:rRNA from 1 species
UGCAAGUCGAACGGAAACGAUGGAAGCUUGCUUCUAGGCGUCGAGUGGCGAACGGGUGAGUAAUGCUUGGGAAUCUGCCUAAUAGUGGGGAACAACUCGGGGAAACUCGGGCUAAUACCGCAUAAUCUCUUCGGAGGAAAGGGGGCCUCUACAUGUAAGCUCUCGCUAAUAGAUGAGCCCAAGUCAGAUUAGCUUGUUGGUAAGGUAACGGCUUACCAAGGCUACGAUCUGUAGCUGGUCUGAGAGGAUGAUCAGCCACACUGGGACUGAGACACGGCCCAGACUCCUACGGGAGGCAGCAGUGGGGAAUAUUGCACAAUGGGCGAAAGCCUGAUGCAGCAAUGCCGCGUGUGUGAAGAAGGCUCUAGGGUUGUAAAGCACUUUCAAUAAGGAAGAAAAGCAUAAGGUUAAUAACUUUAUGUAUUGACGUAACUUAUACAAGAAGCACCGGCUAAUUCCGUGCCAGCAGCCGCGGUAAUACGGAAGGUGCAAGCGUUAAUCGGAAUUACUGGGCGUAAAGCGCGCGUAGGCUGUUAUCUAAGUCGGAUGUGAAAUCCUCGGGCUCAACCCGGGAACUGCAUCCGAAACUAAAUAACUAGAGUAUGGGAGAGGUAAGUAGAAUUUCCGGUGUAGCGGUGAAAUGCGUAGAUAUCGGAAGGAAUACCAGUGGCGAAGGCGGCUUACUGGACCAAUACUGACGCUGAGGUGCGAAAGCGUGGGGAGCGAACAGGAUUAGAUACCCUGGUAGUCCACGCCGUAAACGAUGAGAACUAGAUGUUGGGAGGGUUAGCCUCUCAGUGUCGCAGCUAACGCAUUAAGUUCUCCGCCUGGGGAGUACNAC